UUACCCUAUUAUGUGCUAAAUGGGUUUUUGUAUGUUAUGAUGAACACUCGGAUCGGAGUGUUAAUUUGAUGAAUAUUGAUUGUUAUGAUAUAAGUUCUUGAUGUAGUCCAUGAACACUAGAUAUAGAGGGUUGAAAUUUGAUGUUAAUCUUGCUAAAAAUGACUAAUUACGGACUAGUUAGCAAAAGUGUAGAAUGAUGCCCAUUAGGUGUUUGUUAAAAUGCCUAAAUGAGAAGUAAAGUGUUGAAAUUCAAGUGAAACGCGUAAUUGACAAGCUUGACUAAUUACAUGAGACAUGGAAUAAAACGGGUUCUAAUCAUAAUGUUGAUUUGCCUUAAUCGUGCAUAUUAUAUGAUUAAAUGUAGUUGACUUUAGAAAGUCAAACUAACUAGUGAUGAAGUCGAAUAAGUGGUUUCGGCUAAGAAAAUAAGUAAAGUGGUAUAGUCGUGAUUGUUAAUGACUAAUCUAACCACCUUGUAAAUGAUGAACAAUAGUUGGCGCUUAAACAAGCUAGGUGAAGCUUGGAGUGAAAGCGGGUCAAACGAGUCAAGCAUAGAAGAAAAGCGUAGCUCGGAUGCAAGGUAAGUGUAAUUUACACACUUAUGUAGAAUGCUUGUUAUUUCGAUACUUAUGAACGUGAAAACAAUAAUAUUGGAAAUUUGGAAAAUUGUCAAGUGUUGACUUAUGUAAAUCAUGGUUAAAAAGGAUACCCAUGGCGUAAGCCGAAAUGGGUUGAAACUGCAAGAAAAGAGUGUAAAAGAAAAAGGGUAUGGUUAUAAAACCCGGGAUGGGAUGAUGUACAAAUUGGAAAUCAAAAACGGUGUUUUUGAUUUAAAUAGACAAUGUUGGGCAUAUAGUCCAAACGGGUCGAAUGGUGGUGAUAACACCAUUUGACAAUAUCGAUUAAUGUGGUCGUCAAGUCUUAUGUUAACAGGACUAAUUAGCAAAUCGGAUAGUUGCGUCAUCAUUGAUGGUGUGAUAAUAAAAGCGAGGCAUAAAUCGGGUCUAUUCGUUGAUCCGAGCCAGGUGUAUGCUGAGAGCCCGGAUGAAGAUCAAGCGUCAAGCUCAAUGAGGAACCGAACACAUGUUUGAUAAAGCUUCCGCAACGUUGUUGUGUCGUUAUUCUAAACGGCGAAUUAAAUCACAUUAUGUAUAUCGCUUAAAUUAUAAAAGUUUUUAACAA